GGUCCUGGGGUGUUAUCAUAUUGGAUUGCAAAUCCGAAGACGCGGGUAGUUCCCGCCGGGACUU
rnacentral:tRNA from 1 species